rnacentral:lncRNA from 10 species
GUUGAAGUGGUUCCCAGGGCUCCGCAAGAAGCAGGGUGGGCAUCCUGUGCCCAAAGAUGUGUUGGAGCAGGGAAAUGGGGAAGAUCUGGGUUCUAGUCCAGGCUUUGCUACCACCUUGGGUAAGUCCCUGGCUUUCUCUAAGCCUUAGUUCCCUUAUCUGAAAAGCACAGAGCUGGACUGGAUAAUUCUUAGAGCUCUUUCUGGCUCUUGGAUUUUCAAUGUGUGCAUAUAAGCCCAAAAUUACACACGAG